rnacentral:lncRNA from 1 species
ACAAAAUCAACCCCUAGCUCCUUUCCCCACUGCGUAGUCGAUCUCCACCACUAGGGAGCCUCGAAAUAACUUAUACAAUUCCUUCAGUCCAACAAAAAUAGCGCUAGCUUCGGCCACCUUGACAAUUAUUCAUGCACCCAGCCGCCUAUCUGCAAGCAAUUUUUGCAUCAUCUCUAGUACACUCCAUGCACAUAGUUAGCGUGAUUAUAGCAUUGUCGGCAACAAACAGGAAUCCAUAUGUAGUCUAAAUCUUAACUGAACUUUAUAGGUUUGACCGUCCAGGAGCUCGGUGACACAAAAUUUGACAACUCAAACUUUAAACCUUACCGGUCUACCAUCAUCCAUGGAAAAUCCACCACAUACUUGGCUUCAUAUUGAGAUGGUUCACCACCUUCAUCUCACACGACUUGUCACACUGCAUAUCCACGAGUCAAUCCAGUUAAUAUUUGAUGACUGAAAAAAAUUCAGAGUAAAUUGAUGGAUGCAUGAAUAAAUCAAUCGAUGUGUUGCAACGGGAGGAAAAAAACAUCACUCACAAGCCACCAAGCUCUAGGGCCUUCGUCUCCGACAUGGAAAUCAAGCAUACUCAGCACCCAUGCAAUGGGCCCCACGGUCGUCUUGCACCCCUGCAGCCCAACGGGCGAUGUCGUCGGCGAGUCAAGGCAGCGGCGGAGCAGGCGCGACACAGAUGCCACGAGCUGCUUUGCUGCCUUUCCCGAAAAUUCAACACAACAACAAAGGAAACUUGGCUAGAGAUUGCGCUUGAACACUUAACUGCAGCAAGGAUGAUUAAAACUUUCAAUAAUACAAAUUUGGCUGUGCGUUACAAUGGAGAUACUUUAUAUAUGACGGCGAAAACGGGAAAGGAAAAUAAUAGGAAAUGACUAAAUGUGUUUGUACCUCCUGACAACAUCCUUUUGCGCUGCAUCACGUAUAGUAAUGAUGUCACAAGCAUGCUCUUGACGACAACGAUUCACAUGUGCUCGCGACCUACAGAGGAUGGAGAAAAGAAGGGCAGAAGAGGGAGCCUUUCAUCUAUCAAGCAUUAAUAUUUACUGAAUAAAAUCGAUAUAAUCUAUACCAACUUGAGCAGGAUUGUCGAAUAGCUUCCUCUUACAUCAGAAAAUCUAGCACACCAAAUAUAUACAUAUUCUUAGCAAUGACACAGAAAUCAGAUUGUUUCAAAGAUAGUGAGGAUCGACAUAGGGUUUGAAGAAUUUUGACAAUGUAAACUGUAAUAAGUUACAACCUCCAUCACACAUGUAAUUUUAUCAAAUUGACAAGGCAAGUUAUAGGAACUGUAGCCUAAAAAUGGUAUAUUUCUGUUUGAGAUCAUUUAUAAAAUCAAUAAAAUAUAACGACAUUACGGAUCAAGGACCAAAGAUCAAUUAAGAAAAUCAGAGAUUAGGCAAUCAUACUUACCUUGUUAAGAAUGACACUGAUAGAAUUAGUCAGGGG